rnacentral:tRNA from 1 species
GGGGGUCUAGCUCAGGGGUAGAGUGCGUGCUUAGCAUGCAUGAGGUCCUGGGUUCAAGCUCCAGUCCCUCCU